CAGCUCCAAGCUCUGCCACCGCCCGGGACGCCGAGUGGCGCUGGAGCCGUCGGUCCUCAGUCGGGCGCGGCGGCUGAGGCUAGCGCGCCCCGCGUCGGGGGGCAGCCGUGCCAAGGCCGGCAUCUUGCCCUGGGCGUCUCGGGGCGUCCUGCACCUCUGCACCUCCGGGGUGGGCCCGUGCGCUGCGCUCCGGUCUCCGCGCCCCGUUGGGCUGCAGCCGCGGCCCCCAGGACUUAUAUAGACUUCAGCUGUGAUUCCAGACCCAGCUAGUUCCUGUAGGAGGGAGUCACAGCCCUGAUACUCCAGCCCCAACACAGGCAAGGGAAGGAGCAGGCACAUCUGUGAAGAUGAUACACUGAAGUGAGAUGUAACCCAAAGGCGCGGAGGGAUGUAACCCAAAGGCAUGGAUGGACGCAUCCAUUGCCUCUGGUCUGAGUGGAGGGAGGCACUGCUGUUGCCUCUGGAUCUUCGAGGAAGAAGCUGAAGUUCUUCACAGUGGUGAUACUUGUGCAGCUGGGAGUCUCACUACCCUCAGGUCCCUGAGGUGAAAGACCAGCACCAGAGGAUGUCACACAGAGGACAACCCUGCAGCAGCAGCAGCAGCAGCAGCAGCAGCAGCAGCAGGACACUGUGACGGAAUGGCUUCAGCUCGUGAUUCGAGGGUGUUAUCCAUUCCAUAAAGGAAGCACGGAACUGCGAGAUGUGCGGCUGUGGCACCAGGAGCAGAGGGCUGCUUAUUCAUAUCUCAGCAGAUCAGGGAGCAGAGAAAGCAGACAAAUUCCUGAGCUUAUCUGGCUCUCCUCAGGACCCCAAUUCACAGGUUUCAGAAAAUCUAGCUGGAGCCAGACGUGGUUGCUCACACCUAUAAGCUCAGCAUUUAGGAGGCUGAAACAGAAAGACUGCAAUGAGACUCUUCCUCAAAAAAAUCAAAAAUCAAAGCCAAUCCAGUUUCCAGGGGAAAAAAAGUCAAUUGAAUGUGAAUGGCACGAUUUAUUUCAAGCAGCUGGCUCAUGUGACUGCAGCCCUGGCAGGUGUGCUGGUAUGGAAAUCCCGGAAGAGCUGAGGUUGCAGUCUGGAGUCAGGAGGGACAAUCUCUCCUUCUUGAGAGGCCUCUGUCACUUCCCAUGAGGCCUUCAGCUGACGUUAGGAGGCCACCCACAGUGCCGAGGAGCCCUGCUUUCCUCAAAGACUACUGACUCUCAAAGAUCUUCCCAGCAAUGGCAAACCACUGUUUGAUUCAACACGUGGGUGCCACCUUUCAUCACUCUGAACUCCUCAGCGCCUGGGAACUGCACGUCCAGCUCCCUGGGGGUUCAGGUGAGCGGAGAGCAGUGUGGUUUCUUUAAAACAAACAAACAAACAAACAGACAAAGGCUGUGGCUGGGAUGUUGCUUGACAUCACAUUUACCUAAGCAUUCAAAGUACAAAAAUAAAGAA